rnacentral:misc_RNA from 1 species
GACAGGUCGGACAGUGUCGUUUGCUCCAAGUUUAUUCUCCUCGAUCGUCCAGGCGACUCGUUUGUCGUUCCGCCGAAUUAUGUCACAUUGUCGAUAGUAGAUUGUUUCGUAUCAUUUGGAGAGUUAUGGCCUUUUCUUGCGAGGGACGGGAUCCUUUGGAACAUACCAGUCUUUAUCAACGUGCUGAAAGUGAAGAUAGCGAUGCCGAGGGUGGUCUGGGUAAUGUGAACAAGAUGGUAAUGCGACCACCUGGCCACAGCGGCAAAGCCAAGAAAGGCCACAUCUGCUUUGACGCGACCUUUGAGACCGGCAAUCUCGGAAGGGUGGACUUGAUCUCCGAAUUCGAGUACGAUCUCUUCAUUAGACCUGACACCUGCGGGCCCAGGUUACGCCUGUGGUUUAAUUUCACCGUGGACAAUGUGAAAGCGGAUCAACGGGUGAUUUUCAACAUCGUUAACAUCUCUAAGAGUGCGAACCUCUUCCGACAGGGAAUGACACCAUUAGUGAAGAGUAGCACUAGACCAAAGUGGCAGAGAAUACCGCGAGAACAUGUAUUCUAUUAUAAAUCCGCACAGCAUCAGAAUCAUUAUGUGCUCAGCUUCGCUUUCGCGUUUGAUCGCGAAGACGACGUUUAUCAAUUCGCUCUGACGUAUCCGUAUUCGUACACACGUUACAUGGUGCAUCUCGACAAUCUGUGUAGCAGAUUGUUGUACACGAAGAGAGAGACGCUGGCCGAGUCGAUUCAAAAGAGGAAUGUAGAGCUCGUGACUAUAACCUCCGACCUCGAAGACACAGAACGACCUAGAAAAGUGGUCGUCGUCCUCGCUAGAGUUCACCCCGGCGAGUCACCGUCCUCCUUCGUGUGUCAGGGAUUGAUGGACUUCUUGGUCAGCGCGCAUCCAAUCGCUCAAGUUCUAAGAGACUACGUGAUCUUCAAGAUAGUGCCGAUGCUGAAUCCCGACGGUGUCUUUCUUGGAAAUUACAGAUCCACCGUGAUGGGGUUGGACCUGAAUCGAUCCUGGAACUGUAUCUCCGAGUGGAUUCACCCCACUCUGCUCGCGACCAGAGCGAUGUUGAAGUCGCUCGAUAAAAACUCACACACGCCAUUGGAUUGCGUGUUGGAUUUACACGCUCACACCAACGCCACAGGUGUCUUCGUCUACGGAAAUACGUAUGAGGAUGUCUACAGGUACGAGAGGCAUAUUGUCCUGCCGAAAUUGCUAGCUCAACACGCAGAGGACUAUGAACUGGGCAACACCAUGUACAAUCAAGAUCACAACAAAGCCGGGACUGCCCGCCGCUAUCUGUGCUCUAUCCUAAAGGAGCACGUUAACUGCUACAGCAUCGAGGUUUCCAUGUACGGUUACAACAAGAAAGGAAUACCCGGUAUAAUGCCGUACACAGAAGAAGGAUAUUACAGACUAGGUCGCAAUUUGGCACGUGUUUUUCUGGAAUAUUACAAGCUCACCGGGCUUAUCCCUUCGGGGCUUCCCGAUCAACCAUCGAGCAGGCGAGCGCGUCAAUCUCGGCAGAGACAUCGAAUUCCGAGGGAGCCCAGACCGAAAACAGUUCGAACUCCGGCGACCUUGCAUCUAGCUAGUAUCUACGAGUACUUCCGGGAGGAACCUGAGCCGCUCCCGAGCGCUCGUUACCGAUCGAUGAGCGGUACGAGGAUGGGACAGCAGCCCGGAACCGGAAUCACGAGUGAAACUGGAACGGGCGUCGGCGGCGGGUGCAAAAGCCGGAGCUACAGGUUCCGGAGCCCCGGGGCACCGCUCGACAGGGUGCAGACCCUGACGGGGCGACCCGCCGCCGAGCCGCGGCUCACCAUUAUCGAUUUCAAUCAGCUGACGCGGGGUGGUUUGGAGCUCGCAGCCAACAAGAACAAGCCGACGGUACCACACAGGAGGAUCAUUAAGUCGCGCAGAUAGCGAUCGUCUCGGCUCGAAUCGCGUCGGUUGGAAAGAAAAUUUUCGACGAGAAUCUCGACAUCUCCAGGAACGCGGGAGGCAAAUUUCGCGGUGGUGAGGAGAUGAAACCAUCGCAUCGAUUCGCGCUACUUCUGCGCGACGGAAAUAGAAGACUUUUCGACGAGAAGAGGAACGCUGAGAAUGCACUUCAGCUCUUCUGCUGCCUUCUAUUCAAUUGCUAAUAGUUUGUGUUUAUUAUUAUGAAAUUUCCACAUGUACACUAAAUAAUUUGGAAUUUAACAACAUCAUCGAUAAUAGUGCAUUAGGCAAUAUUCCUUUGAUCACUGAUGCACAUAAAUAUCAAUUUUGAACUUUCUCUUACACCAUUCUCACCUUCUUUCUCGUGACAAUAAAUAAUCUUUAAUAAUCUUUCUCAAACAAAUCUCUAACUCGUAUUGCAUAUUUACAGUUUCUAACAUAUAUCUGUUACAUUUCUUAUAUUAUAUUUCUUAAUUGUUUGUAAUACCAUUGUCUAUAUUAUAUUGUGUAUAUGAUAUCAAAACUACUUCUACGUUCGAAAAUAAAAAGAUCUAUAAACUUAAGUAAAACAUAUAAAGCACAUGCUUUCACAUAAUUAAUACCAUUUUCGAAUUGCACCUAGAGCUUCACACGUAAAGCAAUCGCAACAUAUAAAAUUAUAAACAUUGGAUAUUACAUUAUACAAAAUUUCGAAAAAAUAUUAAAUACGAUCCGUCAAAUAAAUUGUCUAACGCAUGAAACCGAGAAAAAAAUUUUCGCGCGUGCGUUGAAACGCAUUAGUUCUUUAAU